rnacentral:tRNA from 1 species
AGUCAGAUGCCCGAGUUGGUCCAAGGGGUAUGACUCAGGUUAUGUGAUCAGGCUAUCUGAGCACCACUUUCCUUGCUUUCAUAUAGCGCAAGCUGCGUGGGUUCGAAUCCCACUCUGACUA